CGGCAUCGCAGUUUGUUUCGUGAGUGAAAACACUCACUUCGUCGUCGGCAUGGCCCAAUGGCACACACAACCCAAACGUUUGAAGAAAGAAGAUGUUCGACCGGAAAACGGAUUGACGGGGAUCACCCGCCCAGAUGCUUCUUUGCUUGGAUCAGAAAUGUUGAAGCUUGAAGCAGCGUGAACUGUUGAAGACAUCCAUAAGCAACAUGCUCGAGGACCUCUUCAAAGACUGCAUUGGUGAGGUUUUGCACACACGCACACACGCACACGAUGUUGGAUGAGAAGCCCUCGCUCUCUAGUUGCCGCUGAAAUUCAUCCCAACGGUGUUGAGGUCUGGACUCUGUGCAGGCAAGUCAAGUUCAUCUGAAUCACAC